rnacentral:rRNA from 1 species
GCGGAACACGUGAAAUUCCGUCGGAAUCCGGGAGGACCAUCUCCCAAGGCUAAAUACUCCCUAGUGACCGAUAGUGAACCAGUACCGUGAGGGAAAGGUGAAAAGCACCCCGGAAGGGGAGUGAAACAGUUCCUGAAACCGUGUGCCUACAAUUAGUCAAAGCCCGUUAAGGGGUAAUGGCGUGCCUUUUGUAGAAUGAACCGGCGAGUUACGUUUGCCUGCGAGGUUAAGAUGAAAAGUCGGAGCCGGAGCGAAAGCGAGUCUGAACAGGGCGAAUGAGUAGGCAGAUGUAGACCCGAAACCAAGUGACCUACCCAUGACCAGGUUGAAGGUGUGGUGAAACACACUGGAGGACCGAACCCAUGUAUGUUGAAAAAUGCUGGGAUGAGUUGUGGGUAGCGGUGAAAUUCCAAACGAACUUGGAGAUAGCUGGUUCUCUCCGAAAUAGCUUUAGGGUUAGCCUCGGAGGAUGGAUCAUGGAGGUAGAGCACUGUUUGAACUAGGGGCCCAUCAAGGGUUACUGAAUUCAGAUAAACUCCGAAUACCAUCGAUCUUACUCCGGGAGUCAGACAGUGAGCGAUAAGGUCCAUUGUCGAAAGGGGAACAGCCCAGAUCACCAGUUAAGGUCCCUAAAUUUAUGCUAAGUGGAAAAGGAUGUGGCGUUGCACAGACAACUAGGAUGUUGGCUCAGAAGCAGCCACCAUUUAAAGAGUGCGUAAUAGCUCACUAGUCGAGUGGCACUGCGCCGAAAAUAUACCGGGGCUAAGCAUAAUACCGAAACUGUGGGUGCACCCGU